rnacentral:rRNA from 1 species
AAGGGCUCCAGGCUUUGGCUCGGCACCUUCAACACCGCCGAGAUGGCGGCGCGCGCGCACGACGCCGCCGUGCUCGCAUUCUCUGGCCACGCCGCCUGCCUCAACUUCGCCGACUCCGCCUGGCGGAUGCUGCCUGUGCUUGCGGCCGGCUCCUUCGGCUUCGAUAGCGCGCGGGAGAUCUACGUUGCACGGAUACUUGGAUACGUAUCGGAUACGCGAUACGGGGAUACGCCCGAUUCGCCAAUUUUCUAA